GGAAUAUUGGUCAAUGGGCGCAAGCCUGAACCAGCCAUGCCGCGUGCAGGAUGAAAGCUCUCUGAGUUGUAAACUGCUUUUGUACAGGAGCAAAACAAUCCCUGCGGGGAUUCUUGAGCGUACUGUAAGAAUAAGCACCGGCUAAUUCCGUGCCAGCAGCCGCGGUAAUACGGAAGGUGCAAGCGUUAUCCGGUUUUAUUGGGUUUAAAGGGUGCGUAGGCGGCUUAUUAAGUCAGUUGUGAAAUCCUAGUGCUUAACGCUAGAACUGCAAUUGAUACUAUUAGGCUUGAGUUAAGAAUAGGUAAGUAGAAUUUAUGGUGUAGUAGUGAAAUGCUUAGAUAUCAUAAGGAAUACCAAUAGCGUAGGCAGCUUACUGGUCUUUAACUGACGCUGAGGCACGAAAGCGUGGGGAGCAAACAGGAUUAGAUACCCUGGUAGUCCACGCCGUAAACGAUGAUCACUCGAUAUACAUAAAUCUUAUGUGUGUCUAAGCGAAAGCGUUAAGUGAUCCACCUGGGGAGUAUACUCGCAAGGGUGAAACUCAAAGGAAUUGACGGGGGUCCGCACAAGCGGUGGAGUAUGUGGUUUAAUUCGAUAAUACGCGAGGAACCUUACCUGGGCUAGAAUGUAUUUUGCUACUUUGAGAAAUUAAGGGUUCCUUCGGGACAAAAUACAAGGUGCUGCAUGGCUGUCGUCAGCUCGUGCCGUGAGGUGUUGGGUUAAGUCCUAUAACGAGCGAAACCCUUUUACUUAAUUGCCAGCACAUAACGGUGGGAACUUUAAGUAGACUGCCCGUGUAAGCGGGAGGAAGGAGAGGAUGAGGUCAAGUCAUCAUGGCCUUUAUGCCCAGGGCUACACACGUACUACAAUGGCAUGUACAGAAGGAAGCUACUUGGUAACAAGAUGCAAAUCUCAAAAGCAUGUCUCAGUUCGGAUUGAGGUCUGCAAUUCGGCCUCAUGAAGUUGGAAUCGCUAGUAAUCGCGUAUCAGCAAUGACGCGGUGAAUACGUUCUCGGACCUUGUACACACCGCCCAUCAAGCCAUGGGAGUUGGUAGAGCUUGAAGACAGUGGCCGUAAUAGGAGCUGUUUAGUGUUAGACCAGCGACUGGGGCUAAGUUGUAACAAGGUAGCCGUACCGGAAGGUGUGGCUGG
rnacentral:rRNA from 1 species